UUUUUUUUUAAUUUUAGACUUUUUCAUUUGAAUCAAAUCAAUAGCAAUAGCAAACAACACAAAAACAAUCAAAAUUAAAAAAAAAUUAAUAAAUACAAACCUUUGGCAAAAACCUUCAAAAUUUUCCGAAAAUAAGAUGUGCAGAACUUGUUGUUGCUCAUGCUCAGGUGCAAGACCUUGUUGUGUGCCUUAUAGACCUCGUCAUCGCCCCGACCACCCUUGUGAUCCUUAUCUUCCACUAACGUUAUGUGAACCAUCUGUAAUGAAUGAAUGUUGCAUGCCACCGAAAGGAUGUUGCUACCCAAAGCCUGUUCAAAGAAAUCCACCUUGUCGAUAUUCAGCUCCUUGCAAGGCCCACUGCUAUGAUACUCCCCCAUGUGUAAGAAGAAGGAGACGCUGCUAAGAUUAAGAAAGUAAUCAAACCUGAGUUAAAUAAACACAUUUCACAGUUUUAUAAAUUAUUUUGAAAGCAAUGAAUAAACCAAAAAAACUGUAAUCGCCAUCUUU